rnacentral:rRNA from 1 species
CAGUCGAACGAAAAGACGGAAAGAGCUUGCUCUUUUCAGAAUUGAGUGGCACACGGGUGAGUAACACGUAAACAACCUGCCUUCAGGAUGGGGACAACAGACGGAAACGACUGCUAAUACCGAAUAAGUUCCAAGAGCCGCAUGGCCCAUGGAAGAAAAGGUGGCCUCUACCUGUAAGCUAUCGCCUGAAGAGGGGUUUGCGUCUGAUUAGCUGGUUGGAGGGGUAACGGCCCACCAAGGCGACGAUCAGUAGCCGGUCUGAGAGGAUGAACGGCCACACUGGAACUGAGACACGGUCCAGACUCCUACGGGAGGCAGCAGUGGGGAAUCUUCCGCAAUGGGCGAAAGCCUGACGGAGCAACGCCGCGUGAGUGAUGACGGCCUUCGGGUUGUAAAACUCUGUGAUCCGGGACGAAAAGGCAGAGUGCGAAGAACAAACUGCAUUGACGGUACCGGAAAAGCAAGCCACGGCUAACUACGUGCCAGCAGCCGCGGUAAUACGUAGGUGGCAAGCGUUGUCCGGAAUUAUUGGGCGUAAAGCGCGCGCAGGCGGCUUCCCAAGUCCCUCUUAAAAGUGCGGGGCUUAACCCCGUGAUGGGAAGGAAACUGGGAAGCUGGAGUAUCGGAGAGGAAAGUGGAAUUCCUAGUGUAGCGGUGAAAUGCGUAGAGAUUAGGAAGAACACCGGUGGCGAAGGCGACUUUCUGGACGAAAACUGACGCUGAGGCGCGAAAGCGUGGGGAGCAAACAGGAUUAGAUACCCUGGUAGUC